rnacentral:misc_RNA from 1 species
AUAGUAUGCCAAACAGACUUUGGCAACGAAGAAACAGCAUACUUCAUUGCCAACUAUAUUAUUAAAAACAAGUCUUGUAAAUAAAAUAUUUUGUGAGCUCUUUCAAUAGCGAAAACAAUGAACGAACAUUCUGUAAGUAAAUGGAUCGUUUGCCGAAUCUGCUUGAAAACAUCGGAAAAUGAAAUGAGUGCUAUAUUUGAUGAGGAGUCAAAUCUUGCUGAACAAAUAGCUGACUAUGGUUCCAUCGCAAUGAAUGAAUUAAAACAUUGGUCAGAUCGAAUAUGUAAUAGAUGUCUUUUAUUGCUAAAAGCAGCAGAAAAGUUUCGAAAGCUUUGUCAACACUCAGUCAAGCAAUGGCAGGAGUUACAUCAAUUUACUGAACGCAAUCUAAAAGAGCCUGGAGAUAAAGCCGAUGAAUUUAAGGAGAUUUUGAAUAAAAAUAGUUCUAACAAACAUCCGUCUGAAAAAACAAAAUGUGAAAAAUCUUUGGUACUAGUUGAUGAGCCAAGCCAAGCUGGAGGCGAUGAUAAUAACUUUGUGUUUGAAGUUAUAGAAGGCUUUUCGGAGGAUUGUGAUGUAGCUGAAGAUAGCAUAUUAGAUUCGAAUGAGGCCGAGUUUGUGGAAAUUGAAGGUGAUGGAAUGGAUUUUUUAGAAGAUACGAAUACAGAACAAUCUGAUGAACUGGUAUAUUACUCCAACACACAAUACGAAGAAUUUAAGGAAGAAGAAACUCUUAGUUCCGAAGAUCGUAUUGAAAAUCUCUUAAGUGAGGAGUCGACACAAAAAUUAAAAAAAUAUCAGCAAAAAGUAGGUGAAGGAGUCGAAUGUGAGUUUCAAGUGAGUACUAAAAUUGUUUCCUUAAAAACUCCAGUAAUACGAGGCCGUAAAAAAACUACUAAUGCAAUGAAAACUACGCCAAAAAAUAAAACUGAAAACGAAGGAAAUUCUACCAGGAAUUGGCCAAAGAAAACGGCAAAUAAUUUUAUUUGUAGUUUUUGUGGUAAUGUUUAUAAUGAAAAGUCUAAAUUAACAUUACACUUAAGGAUACACACCAAAGAAAAACCGCAUGAAUGCGAAAUUUGUCAUAAGCGAUUUUCUCAAACUCCCCAAUUGGCUCGUCAUAUGAAUUCGCACACAGGUAACAGACCUUUUAAAUGCAAGUUUUGUGAAGCUAGUUUUGCGGAUCCAUCUACUUGCAUUAAGCAUCAACGGAUUCAUACCCAGGAGCGACCGUACAUUUGCGAGACCUGCGGCAAAGCAUUUUCUUAUUCGAACGUACUCAAAGUUCAUGUUAUGUCUCAUACAGGAGAGAAACCUUACAACUGUGAAUACUGUGGAAAAAAAUUUACUCAAUCACAUCACAUGAGAACCCAUGAGCGCACCCAUAUUUAAUGGAAGAAAUAUCAUGUACAUACAUACAUAUACAAAAAAAUUAUUUGUUAAGUUUUUAUCUCUGCCUAUGGUUGGUGAUAAAGGAAAUGUUACUAAUAAAUUCAUGUUUCUUCUACAAAUGUUGUUAUCUAUUUGGAGCAUAUUUAUUGACAGCUGCAGGCCUUCGUGCGUCAAAGUGUGGAAAAGCAGACCAAGCAGACUGGCAUCGCGUCACAGCGUUCUCGUAUUGUAACAUUUUCUUAAAAACAAAAGAUAAAUUGGGUGCAUUGGCACGACCAAG